GACGAACGCUGGCGGCGUGCUUAACACAUGCAAGUCGAACGGAAAUUCCCUGCUUUUUUGGCGUGCUCGAGUUGCGAACGGGUGAGUAACACGUGAGUAACCUGCCCGUGACUUUGGGAUAACUUCAGGUAACUGGGGCUAAUACCUGAUAGGUGCUCCUGCUUCAUGGUGGGGGGUGGAAAGUUUCGGCGGUUGGUGUUCGACUCGCGGCUUAUCAGCUUGCUGGUUGGGUAGUGGCUUACCAAGGCUUCGACGGGUAGCCGGCCUGAGAGGGUGACCGGCGACAUUGGGACUGAGAUAGGGACCAGAAUGCUACGGGCGGCAGCAGUGGGGAAUAUUGCGCAGUGGGCGGACGCCUGAUGCAGCAACGUCGGGUGCGGGAUGACGGGCUUCGGGUUGUAAACCGCUUUCGGCUGUGACGACGCGGGCGUGACGGUAAUGGGUAAAGAAGCCCCGGCUAACUACGUG
rnacentral:rRNA from 1 species